UAUAUAGAGUGUACUUACCAUAACUAACCCCCAAUCCUUUAGUCAAGUUUAAGGUCACUACGUGAUCUCCACAACCUUCUUAGAAUCCAAAAAUAUCUAGGUUUAAUUUAAAGGGGUAAUUCUUGUAUUCCCUUAGCAAUUUAAUCAAAAAAUCUACAUUGAUUUUCCUUCCAACAGAAUUUACUUCAAAUUCAAUGGGUUAGAACUGUUGAGCCAAUAUCACUAUGAGUAGGAAUUAACCCUAUCAACUUCCAAAUCCUUCUUUACCAAAAUUCUUAAUGUCUAUGAUUAAUGCUACCCAUGAUAACUCACAUAAGCAUCUCAAAAUCGAAAUUUCUACUCAAUUUUGUAUUUUACAAUGACAAAGAUUUCUAGUUAGGUCAUAAACCUUGACUUGAGUUCAAGUUAACACAUCCAAUGGUCUCCCACAAUUAUAAGAAAAAUUUAGUAGCCCAAUCCAAAUAUACAAAUUCAACUAAUUAGAAUACUCCACCAAUUUGCAUACUAUAUGGCCUUAAGAAUUUAAUCCACUAAUAGAAAUAUGCCGAUUUACAAUAUUCAAACAUGUCAAAUCCAAAUAUAAUCCCCAUACAGAUUUAACCUCGAAAAUAUUCUGCACUAAUACUACGAAAAAUCUUUCUUAGCCCACUCCAAUGAUACGGAAGAUGUAUGUAUAAAUCACACUCUGAUAAUUAGUAGCAAAACCAAAAGUACGAUCAUAUCACAACCCAUAUCAAGUUUGAACUUCCAAGUC
rnacentral:lncRNA from 1 species